rnacentral:rRNA from 1 species
GACGUAGGGUGCAAGCGUUGUCCGGAUUUAUUGGGCGUAAAGAGCUCGUAGGCGGCUCGUCGCGUCGACCGUGAAAACCUAGGGCUUAACCCUGGGCUUGCGGUCGAUACGGGCGGGCUAGAGUUCGGUAGGGGAGACUGGAAUUCCUGGUGUAGCGGUGAAAUGCGCAGAUAUCAGGAGGAACACCGGUGGCGAAGGCGGGUCUCUGGGCCGAUACUGACGCUGAGGAGCGAAAGCGUGGGGAGCGAACAGG